AGUGUGAAGCUGUCAGCAGGGGGAAUAACACAGCGCUGUGAAUGAGUCCUGUCACUGUGAUCAGGCUCCUCCUUCUAAUCCACCAACUUAGUGUUGAUGAAGACUAAACAGAGAGAUCACAGCUUCUUUAUACUUGCUGUAGCUCACAGUUACUCUACACUGCAGAUAUGACGCCUCUGUUCAUCUCAGUGCUGCUGGCUGCUAUGUGCCUCGAAUGCAGAGCACAAAAAGACAACGUGCUGCAAGCAAAAGGAGAAGAGACUGCUGCUGCAGGAGGCACAGUGACACUUGACUGUCUCUAUAACAGCAGCAGUUUAACAAAUGAUUAUCUCUACUGGUACAAACAGGAUGGAAACAACAGCCCCAAAUUCAUCCUGAUGCGCUAUAGUGGGGAUCAAGGAAACACAGCAGAGGAGUUCAAGGAGAGAUUUUCAUCCACACUGGAUUCCAGCAUCAGAUCAGUUCCUCUGAAGAUCCAGAAGCUUCAGCUGUCUGACUCUGCUGUGUACUACUGUGCUCUGCAGCCCACAGUGACAGGAAAC